CCCGGAAGACAUUUUAAGCUUUACAGCAAGUCAUUAAAAAGAAACAAAAAUAAAUGCGUAAACAUAAUCCCACGCUGCCUGUCUGGAGCGAAAUUGGUAUCUGGUGGGGUGAAAGCAGAACCUCGGCCUUCAUGCAACUCUGUGUUUGGGAAAAAGAAGGAAGGAGGGAGAGAAGGAAACUCUGCCUGUAUUCAAACCAUUUCAAGAAACAUGGUUGAACUAAAGAGAGAAGCAAUUUAAAGUGGGUGUUUUCACACGCAGAGCUGGAAGUUCUAGCAUUGGAGUAGAGACGGGGUUUCGCCGUGUUAGCCAGGACGGUCUCGAUCUCCUGACCUUGUGAUCUGCCCACCUCGGCCUCCCAAAGUGCUGGGAUGACAGGCGUGAGCCACCGCGCCUGGCCACUGCUCACAUUUUGCCCUAUGGGUCUGAAGUUCAGCCAUAUUCCUUCCCCAGAGCCCUAGUUGCCUUGGAAGUCAAGAUCUUUUAGAAGCCACCUGCAUCAACUUUUCACCACUGUCCUAAAUCAGAAACUUCGUGGUCACUUCCCCACUCCUCACCUGCUGCCUCCAAGGAUCUCCUCAGGAAUAAAUUACUUGCAUUUAAAUCCUUGUCUCAGAGUUGGCUUCUGGAGGAACUCAGAUGAAGAUGGCAGACUUAUCACUUUUCCUUUUGUCUAACUAAAAGGCUUCAAAUAGAAAUCAAUUAUUCAACUGAUUAUGAAUCCAAAAAUUUCUGGCAUAUUUGAAAGAGCAGAUCAUCCCGACUUUUAGUCCUCAAGAUAUCAAAAAUAUUGCAUCUCCAUCUAGCACCUCCCCCCCCAUUACACACCUGCUUUGUGCUAGGCACUUUACAUGUGCAACAGGAUGAUGUUAGGGGUGCUCUGAGUCUCUUGGCCUAAGUUCAAAGGUCAUUCAGCAGUUGGGGUCAGCCACCUUCCUUCACGGCUCGCUGUGGAGCCAUUUCAGCAGAAUGGCAGCCCAUCCUUAUGCCCAUUCUACCGUGGGCGUCAAGGAGAAGGGGAAAGAGAGCACGUCUUGCUUCUCCUGCUCCCCCUACCCAUUGUCCCAGCUCCAAGCCACUAGAAUCAUGAGUCUGGCUUGAACUGGGUGACAUGGGGCCAGGGGAUCUAAAAGAACUUUGAAUCAGAUCUGAGAAUGAAGUUUUUUCCAAGGAAAUUUAUAUUGAACUAUAAAACACAUACAGAAAAGUAUAUGUGUGUACAUGCACACAGAUAUAUCAUAAGUGCACGGCUCAGUGAAUUUCCCCAGACUAAACAUGCUCACAUAACCUGCACCCAGAUCAAGAUACAGAACUCUCCCAGCCCCUCAGAAAGCUACCUAGUAACCCUCCUAGUCACUACCCUUUGCCAAGGGUGACCACUAUCCUGCUAACACCCUGGAUUGCUUUUGCCUGUUUUUGAACUUCACAUAAAUGGAAUCAUGCCGUGCAUGCUUUUUGGUGUCUGUCUUCGUUUGUUCGACAUCAUGACCAUGAGACUGGGUCUCGUUGUGCUUCACUGGUUGAGACUGACAUUCUAAUUGGAGGAGAUUUGGGUUUUAAGACCUGAAAUAGACAGCUUUGGUAACCAAAGAGUCAGUCAGGCAUGCUAUGGAAUUGUUGAGAGGCUGGUUGAGGAAGCCCAUUCUUUAAUAGCUCCGU
rnacentral:lncRNA from 10 species